GGUUGUGUAGUGUAGUGGUUAUCACUCUGGAUUUUGACUUGGUUCGCGCCUGUUCAUAUUUCCAGUAACCCCGGUUCGAACCCGGGCACGACCU